rnacentral:rRNA from 1 species
AUUGAACGCUGGCGGCAGGCCUAACACAUGCAAGUCGAGCGGAUGAUGGGAGCUUGCUCCUGGAUUCAGCGGCGGACGGGUGAGUAAUGCCUAGGAAUCUGCCUGGUGGUGGGGGACAACGUUUCGAAAGGAACGCUAAUACCGCAUACGUCCUACGGGAGAAAGCAGGGGACCUUCGGGCCUUGCGCUAUCAGAUGAGCCUAGGUCGGAUUAGCUAGUAGGUGAGGUAAAGGCUCACCUAGGCGACGAUCCGUAACUGGUCUGAGAGGAUGAUCAGUCACACUGGAACUGAGACACGGUCCAGACUCCUACGGGAGGCAGCAGUGGGGAAUAUUGGACAAUGGGCGAAAGCCUGAUCCAGCCAUGCCGCGUGUGUGAAGAAGGUCUUCGGAUUGUAAAGCACUUCAAGUUGGGAGGAAGGGCAGUAAGUUAAUACCUUGCUGUUUUGACGUUACCGACAGAAUAAGCACCGGCUAACUUCGUGCCAGCAGCCGCCGUAAAAC